rnacentral:rRNA from 1 species
AGUGAACGCUGGCGGUAGGCCUAACACAUGCAAGUCGAACGGCAGCACAGUAAGAGCUUGCUCUUACGGGUGGCGAGUGGCGGACGGGUGAGGAAUACAUCGGAAUCUACUUUUUCGUGGGGGAUAACGUAGGGAAACUUACGCUAAUACAGCAUACGACCUACGGGUGAAAGCAGGGGAUCUUCGGACCUUGCGCGAUUGAAUGAGCCGAUGUCGGAUUAGCUAGUUGGCGGGGUAAAGGCCCACCAAGGCGACGAUCCGUAGCUGGUCUGAGAGGAUGAUCAGCCACACUGGAACUGAGACACGGUCCAGACUCCUACGGGAGGCAGCAGUGGGGAAUAUUGGACAAAGGGCGCAAGCCUGAUCCAGCCAUACCGCGUGGGUGAAGAAGGCCUUCGGGUUGUAAAGCCCUUUUGUUGGGAAAGAAAAGCAGCAGGUUAAUACCCCGCUGUUCUGACGGUACCCAAAGAAUAAGCACCGGCUAACUUCGUG